CAGUAGCCGCGGUAAUACGUAGGUGGCGAGCGUUGUCCGGAAUUAUUGGGCGUAAAGGGAGCGCAGGCGGACAUAUAAGACCAUCUUAAAAGUGCGGGGCUCAACCCCGUGAGGGGAUGGAAACUGUAUGCCUUGAGUGCAGGAGAGGAAAGCGGAAUUCCCAGUGUAGCGGUGAAAUGCGUAGAUAUUGGGAGGAACACCAGUGGCGAAGGCGGCUUUCUGGACUGCAACUGACGCUGAGGCUCGAAAGCCAGGGGAGCAAACAGGAUUAGAUACCCGAGUAGUCCCUGUCUCUUAUACA
rnacentral:rRNA from 1 species